rnacentral:ncRNA from 1 species
CUAUGAUGUAAAAAUCAUGGCGGAAGGAG